AUUGAACGCUGGCGGCAGGCCUAACACAUGCAAGUCGAGCGAGCGGCGGACGGGUGAGUAAUGUGUGUGGGUCUGUCCGCUAGAGGGGGGUAACUCCUGGGAAAGGUGGCUAAUACCCCAUACUGUCGGAUGUACCCCGAUGGGAUUAGCUAGUGGGUGGGGUAAUGGCUUACCUAGGCGACGAUCCCUCGCUGGUCUGAGAGGAUGAUCAGCCACACGGGAACUGAGACACGGCCCAGACUCCUACGGGAGGCAGCAGUGGGGAAUAUUGCACAAUGGGCGCAAGCCUGAUGCAGCCAUGCCGCGUGUAUGAAGAAGGCCGUAGGGUUGUAAAGUACUUUAAGUGGGGAGGCGUUACCGAAAGAAGAAGCACCGGCUAACUCCGUGCCAGCAGCCGCGGUAAUAC
rnacentral:rRNA from 1 species